AAGCGAUGUACCGAUGCUGCGGGUGCAUAGCAAUAUGCGCGGUAGAGGAGCGUUCCGUAAGCCUGCGAAGGUGACUCGUAAGGGUUGCUGGAGGUAUCGGAAGUGCGAAUGCUGACAUGAGUAACGAUAAUGCAGGUGAAAAACCUGCACGCCGUAAGCCCAAGGUUUCCUGCGCAACGAUUUUCGGCGCAGGGUAAGUCGGAUCCUAAGGCGA
rnacentral:rRNA from 1 species